rnacentral:lncRNA from 1 species
CUGUUAAGCAAGUACCACCACUCCAACUGACGUUAGACGACUGUACGCAAGCACCACCAGACAAGCAAUGUAUAUCAU